GUGUCAUUUUAAAAUUUACGCAGUGCUUUAAGAAGCUAAGACAGAAGGGUAAAGUAAUCUCCAUAAAACCCAGAGAAGAGAUUUUAAAACUCCUCUUUGGAUCCUGUCUGGAGUCACAGCU
ensembl:snoRNA